AUUGAACGCUGGCGGUAUGCUUAACACAUGCAAGUCGAACGGUAGCAGGCCUUCGGGCGCUGACGAGUGGCGGACGGGUGAGUAACGCGUAGGAAUCUGCCUGGUAGUGGGGGACAACGUUUCGAAAGGAACGCUAAUACCGCAUACGUCCUACGGGAGAAAGUGGGGGAUCUUCGGACCUCACGCUAUCAGAUGAGCCUAGGUCGGAUUAGCUAGUUGGUGAGGUAAAGGCUCACCAAGGCGACGAUCCGUAACUGGUCUGAGAGGAUGAUCAGUCACACUGGAACUGAGACACGGUCCAGACUCCUACGGGAGGCAG
rnacentral:rRNA from 1 species